CCUACGGGAGGCUGCAGUGGGGAAUAUUGCACAAUGGGGGAAACCCUGAUGCAGCGACGCCGCGUGAGUGAAGAAGUAUUUCGGUACGUAAAGCUCUAUCAGCAGGGAAGAAAAUGACGGUACCUGACUAAGAAGCCCCGGCUAACUACGUGCCAGCAGCCGCUGUAAUACGUAGGGGGCAAGCGUUAUCCGGAUUUACUGGGUGUAAAGGGAGCGUAGACGGCAGCGCAAGUCUGGGGUGAAAUCCCAUGGCUUAACCAUGGAACUGCUUUGGAAACUGGGCAGCUAGAGUGCAGGAGAGGUAAGCGGAAUUCCUAGUGUAGCGGUGAAAUGCGUAGAUAUUAGGAGGAACACCAGUGGCGAAGGCGGCUUACUGGACUGUAACUGACGUUGAGGCUCGAAAGCGUGGGGAGCAAACAGGAUUAGAUACCCGGGUAGUC
rnacentral:rRNA from 1 species